UCAGAGGAGGAGCUGUUGCAGCCUUGCACGAUCAAAAUAGGGCCUUUUAGGUUUGAAGGUUGAAGCUGAGCCCAUAUUCUGGCUUCAGAUGUCGGGGGAGGGGGAAAAACUGACAGACCCAAACAAAGGAAAAAUGAAUGAAAUGCAGAUAACUCUUUAGAAAACUUUCGUAGGAAAAAAGCGCCUCGUGUGAUCUGGAACAAAGACAUUUUCUAAUCAGAUUUAUCAAGCUGUGAAGAGGGAGUUUUAGCAAACGGAAGCAGCAGCAUUCUGUCACCAGGAAAUACUGCUUUAUCCAGAAUUGGGCUUGCACAUAAUUGAAAUUCAAUAGAACAAAAGAAGAAAGUACUGUUUAAGAUGAUAGAACUUUUAAAGAGUGAAAGAUGCCAGUUGAAAUGGAGUGUCUGUGACAAAAAUCUU